CCUACGGGUGGCAGCAGUGGGGAAGAUUGCACAAUGGGGGAAACCCGGAUGCAGCGACGCCGCGUGAAGGAAGAAGAAUGUCGGGAUGAAAACUUCGAUCAGCAGGGAAGAAAAUGACGGUACAUGAAGAAGAAGCCACGGCUAACUCCGUGCCAGCAGCCGCGGUAAUACGCAGGGGGCAAGCGUUAUCCGGCUUUACUGGGUGGAAAGGGCGCGUAGGCGGCGAGGCAAGUCAGAAGGGAAAGCCCGGGUCUCACCUCCGGGACUGCUUUUGAAACUGUGUUGCGAGAUUGCAGGAGAGGUACGUGGACUUCCUCGUGUCGCGUUGACAUGCUUCGAUCUUAGGCGGCACCCC
rnacentral:rRNA from 1 species